CUAUGUCUACGUGGUGUGAGCGUGUUUUAUGCAAAUUACUAGCGGUUAUUAAACAUCCGGAUUCAACGAUUUUACAACGAAAAGCUACUGGGAAAGGCUGCAGUUUCCUGUGAUUAUCAUAUAAGGAAGUAAGGACAUCAUAUCGGAUGGAAGUGGCAUCAAAACAUGAUUUUACUGAACCAUGAAACAGGAAGGAGAGGCAUCCGCGAUAAAAUUGAUACAUUUACCUGUGAACUCCUGAGAUCUAGGAAAGAAACAUUUCUGGAAACUCAACACCAGGUAAGACCAGGGAGUGUUCUGAACCGAUUAGAAAUGAGAGCUACGGGGUUAAAUGAAUAUACAUGUUUACAUAAUUUGUAAAUCUUUCAUAAUCGAAAUAUGAACAUAUUCUGGAUUUUUUGCACUUGAACCCUACAUAUGAUGCAAUCGUGCAACUGACUAACACGC